AGAAGAAGAAGAAGAAGAUCCGUUCCUUUCCACGUGCGCUGAUAGAUGUGAGCUUGUGUCCCGCGCGAGGAGAAAGCAAAAGCCCUGGAUCGUUUGGGGGAAGACUCUCCACAUCUGUUGUGUUCGAGCUCUUGUCCGUUAGUGUUUUCUGUCAUGUACUUUUGUGUUCUAUUCAAUAAAUAUCAUACAUAAACAA